UUUUAUUUUAUUUUUUAUCUUUUUUUUAAUAAAAAUAUUUUAUCUUUUAGUAUUUAGAAUUAAUAUUUUUUAAUAAUAGUUUAGUUAACUGUGAAGGUUAAUUAUUUAUUUAAUUAAAAGUAUUCUUUUUUUGAUGUACCUUUUGCAUCAGGGUUUAUUAAUUUAAGUUAAUUAUUUAUUUUUCUCGAAAUCUUAAGUUUAAAUCCAAAAUGUUUUUUAUUGUUAUAUAUAUAUUUGUAAUUUUGGUUUAGAAGUGAAAUACUUUUCAUUUAAGGUUAUAUCUAGUUUUUUAAUAAUUAAAUUUAAUUUAGUUUAUUUAAGUUUUUAUAAUUUUGAUUAUAUUUAAUUUAAAUAAUAAAAUUAAUUGGGGAUAAGCUCGAUUAAUUUUUUAAAAAUUCUUCUUUUUUAAAUUUUUUAUAGGAUUGAUAAUUUCCAUUUUUAUUUUUUUAUAAUUAUAUUUUUAUUUUUAAGAUUUUUUUAUUUUUAAUUUUUUAUUAAAAUAAUUUUUUUAAUUUAUAAUUUUUUACAAUUAUGAUAAAAUUAGUAAUUUUUAAAAUUUAAAUAUAGGAACUCGGCAAAACCAAUUUUCACCUGUUUAACAAAAACAUGGUUUUUUGAUUUUAAUUUAAAAUCAGGCCUGCCCAUUGAUUAAAAAAAUUAAAAGGCUGCGGUAUUUUAACUGUACGAAGGUAGCAUAAUCAUUUGUCUUUUAAUUGAAGGCUAGUAUGAAUGGUUUGAUGAAAAAUUUUCUUUCUUUAUUUAAUUAUUUUGAAUUUAAUUUUUAAAUUAAAAAGUUUAAAUUUUUUUAUAGGACGAGAAGACCCUAUAGAAAUUUAUUUUCUUUAUAAAGUUUUUUUUUGGUUUUUAAAAGAUUUAUUUAGAAUGGGAAAUUUUGUUGGGGUGACAGUAAAAUUUUAAUAACUUUUAUUUAUUUUUUCAUUAAUUUAUGUUUUGAUCCAGUUUUAUUGAUUAUAAGAUUAAUUUACCUUAGGGAUAACAGCGUUAUUUUUCCGGAGAGUCCUAAUCGAUGGAAAUGUUUGCGACCUCGAUGUUGAAUUAAGAUAAGUUUCGGGGGGAGUUUUUCGAACUUCUUGGUCUGUUCGACCAUUAAAUUCUUACAUGAUUUGAGUUCAGACCGGUGUGAGCCAGGUCGGUUUCUAUCCUUAUUUUUUUCAUAAUUUAGUACGAAAGGACCAUUUAUGACAAUUAGAAUUGUUUUUUUAGAAUAAAAUUAAAAAAAAAAAAAAAUA
rnacentral:rRNA from 1 species